ensembl:lncRNA
CGACACUUGACCGAACGGCCUGCGGUGCUUUUUGUCCCUUUGUCCGCCCCGUAGAAACGGGAAGUACAAGAGAAAGCUACUGAAAAAUAAAAACAAAUUGAUGCUAAAACAUCCAAACAUAUUUGUCCCAAAAUGGACAGUCAGAACCCAAAGUCAACGAAUAACGAUUCACGCUGCGUAUUUUUUAACACAGUUUCAGAAGACUACCAAUGUGUGGUGAUUUUAAGGGUAAAACGAGCCACAGGAACCUUCUCCUUAGUAGGAUGCGUUUUCAUGCUCUUUGUGAUUUGGCUGCUUCGCAGGUAUCACUCUCUGGCUCAGAAGAUGAUUCUCAGCCUGACUGUAGCUGCCUUCUUCAACAGUGUAGCAUACGUCAUGGGUGACUCACAUCCAGUGGGAGCUCUGUGUGACUUCCAGGCCUGCUGGUUAACUUACUUUGACUGGAGUGCCUUGGCCUGGGUUUGUCUCAUCACUCUGAACCUCUACCUCAACCUGGUGAGAGAAAUCAGCACCAACCGAUACGAGAUGUUGUACCAUCUGAUGGCGUGGGGGCUUCCUCUGGUCAUGGCCUCCCUGCCCCUGCUAAAGGGCUACUACGGCCCCGCUGGAGCCUGGUGAUGGUACGUGCCUCUGUUCAGCCUCAUCUUCUUGAUGAUCUGCUGCUACGCGCGGAUAAUCUGCGUGGCCACCGCAAGGAUGCAGUCAUGGUUGGGAACCUUCAACCCAGAGAGAGAGAGACGAAAGGUAAUGGCCUGUCCGAGAGUCACAUUUCUCCACGCACGCACACACCGAGCGUGAGGAUUAGAGUGUGUGCAGGAUUAGCUUUGGUGUUCCCGCUGGGUAGGUGUCAAACGGCGGGGAGCAAUUUGACCUUGUGACACUUGUGUGUGUGCGUUUCAUGGGCUUGUGUGUGUCCGUCUGUGCGCGCCAGCCCGUCCAUGCAUAUUUAAAUUUUGGAGCAGCGGCGCCUCUGCUCCUGACCUUACUGAAAGGAAAAGAAGGACAGGGGAGGCUGCCUGGGAAAAAUAUUAAGAUCUAGAGCAGUCCGAUUGUGAAAACAGGACAUGGGCUGCCGGGGAAAAGAGGAGAACGCCUCAACCUCCGGUUCUGCCGAGGGAACCCCGCGCGGCGUGUUACUGUCAUUCCCUCUACGGCCCAGCAGGGGGCGACUCCUCUGGUGGCAGAAAGAAGUCCUAUGUACGAUGUCUCUAUGAUGAAAGUCCUGCUUUGAACAGGACCGUGUUGACAUGCUGUAAAUUGCAAAUACGUCGACCGGGAAUCGUUGUGGUUGUGCAGUGAAGAAGGAAGAAGACCACCAGUGAAAACAACCCGAACCAAACUGCUAUUCCGAAGAGGAGUCAUAAUUAACUGUAACAUAUUAACAGACUUCUGUAUUGCCUUUGCACAAGUCCAGUAAGGAAGAAAGAAAGUCAGGUAAUCCAUUUAUUAUCAGACGACUAACGUUCGAUAUCCUGUAAACUAGGGGUGCCCAACCAACACGCCGCGGACCAGUACCGGUCUGUGGGCCAUAUUGACCAAUCCGCGAUUUAUUGUCUCAUAUGAAAACGGUCCGACGGGCAAAAAAGGUUGGAGACCCCUGCUGUCCCCAACCUGUCAAUCUAAUAACUGGCCUUCUUUGACGUGCAGUUGGGUUUUCAGUGGACUGUUUGUAAUGUCAGUCUGGUGCGGAUGCCAAGUUACAAAAAUUCUGAGAUGCCCGUCCAUGAGCGACAUUUCACGCUGUUACAGAGAAACGUUUGUAUGUAAUUCAUUGUCGUGUGAAGCAUUUUACAUUUAAAAGAAAACAUUCUUUCUGAAAUGUGUUCAAAAAAAAAUUGUCCCCUACAUGUAUGGAAGAGCCGUACUAAUCUGCUGGACAGCAAUGGAUUGAUAUGCAAUCAUUAAUUUCCAUUACUGGUAUCGGGAAGUGGCAUCUAACACCUGCCCACACAGAACUACUGCCCAAUGGUUUAAGCCUUGAAAUCCUGCACAAAGGUGCUCAGGGUCACACUCCUAUUCACCACGCGUCCAGCAGCAGCAGCAGUACCUGUUCUGUUGUUACCCCCCCCCCCUCCAGGGUGCGCUGGGGGGGGGGGGCAGUUUAGGGUUAAGGUUAUGUAGAUGCUGCCCCUAAGUGGCAGAUGUAAUUACUGCACAUUGAACUGGCGUAACCCUCACCGCCCAGACAACACACGCACACACACACACACACACACACACACUGUUCAUGUGGGCUAAUUGCUACGUGUAAAUAAGUCAGCAGGGUUUUUUUUUUAUCACACACUCGUUUCCUCGUAUUUCUCUUCCCCAAUCGCUCUCCUCGUUUCCAUCUGUUUUCCUCUGCCUCUCGCUUCGGUCCUCCUCUCUCUCUCUCUCUUCCCCCCCUACUCUUUUUUGUUCUCUCCUUCCCUCCCUCCGUCUCUCUCCCUCUCUUGUACCCAGCAUGAAUAAAGCAGCAAGCCAGGUUCAUGGACAUGAAUAUUUAUGAGUUUAUGCACGCGCUGCGAUGCUUUAAAACAACAACAACAGCCUCCCCGAUUGUGCUUGCCAAGCCAGCGAGCUCUCUGGCUUGUGUGUGUGUGUGUGUGUGUGUGUGUGUGUGUGUGUGUGUGUGUGUGUGUGUGUGUGUGUGUGUGUGUGUGUGUGUGUGUGUGUGUGUGUGUGGCAGCAGGUGUAAACUAGAGAAAGCGAUUCCUGCUGGGUGUCUGAAGACCGCCGGCUCUGGUUAUUUCCAUUCACUUCGCCACAUCUCCCUCCUGCUGUGCCUCACAUGUUCUCUGUCGCCAUCUCUCUCACACUGUGCCACACGCACACACACACACACACACACGCAUACAAGAGCAUGCAUGCUUCUUUUGUUUUGCAUUCACGCAUGUAGUUUCCUGCGUUCACCAUUCUUGAUCUUUUCUCUCGCUCUGACUCAGCCUGGCACCAUCCCCCUUCUUCGCUGUGUGUGUCUGUGUGUGUGUGUGUGUGUGUGUCUGUGUGUGUGUGGGGCUGGAGAGAUGACGUACGUAACUGGUGUUGGCAGUUAUCAGGGCCGUCAGUCACAUGGUUUCGACACAUCUCUCUGUGUCUCGAGCAAUUUGUUUGUGGUCACGCAUGAAUACGCACACACACACACACACACACACACACAGCGCACAAGGUCUUGGAGCAGCAUAGGUAAGUAGGGGGGGGGGGGGGGGGGGGGUAUUUAGAAGAGGGUGUUUAAAUCAGGCCUUCCGAACACACACACACACACACAAAAACAGGCGGACUUCUGAACACGUUUGCCCACACAGCAGCUCGGUCCCGUCGGGUAGCAACAAAGCUGGCUGAGCAAACAGCGAGCUGCUUGUUCGUUAUCUUCCCCGGGUGUUUGUUUACUGAUCCACACAAGCUUCCAGUCACAAUGGGACGUGUCAGCUCGCGUGUCCUGGUGCACGUACGUGACGCUCAACCUUGUUCCUCGCCGAGCGGAAGGCCCUACCGCUCCGUGUAGCCGUCCUUAAUUCCUGUGCCAAAUUUUUUUUUUUUUCCCACACCUCAACGACGCCGUGAAGGCGCCGCGGUGCUGCAAGGACAGUUGGCUUUGUGUCUCCCAGGCGCCGCACGCCGCUCUGCCAGAACGCGCGUACCUCCGUUUGGAGGGAUCGGCGCCCCAGCUGUCAGAUAGCGAGACGCUCUGAGCAGCUCAGUAAUCCUCGCCGGUGUCUUUAACGGGAUGUGUUUGGCUUUUAUCUGUCCUUUUUAUUUGCUACAUCAAUCUCGCCAAAAUUGCCAUUUUGUAGCUUGUCUGGAGCUUUACGUUGUAGAGCCUCGUCUUCGUGAGGUCGCUAAUAAAAAUGAUACGUUUAUAUUUCUAUUUAAACUUUUCCAAAAAGACUCAAUGGUUCAAAAGUAUUUAUCCAAAAAUGACAUUCUAAUUUACUUAUAAAUGCACGCUCUAAAUCGUGAGUAAAACCUAAUUGUGUUAAUCUUGCAGCAGAAGAUUUUAAUUUCUCAUGGAAACGUUUCAUUAUGAAAUUCUAAAUACGUUUGUACCCUGAUUUUAAGUGUACAAAAAUAGCUUGUUUUUUAAGGUCCCUGAAUGUGAUGUUCCCGUUCGCUGGAGCGCCGCUGUUCUCUUUGGAGGAGGUUAUCUCUUUCUUCCUCUCCCGGUGAAGGGGCCCGGUCGCUCCCGACAACGCCCCAGUAAUCUAGCGUGCGUCAUUAAUGUCCGGUCCGCUGCCCCCGGCGCACACAAUUACGCUUUCAAUCCGCGGGGGACGGCGGGGGGGGGGGGGAUGUGAUUAAAAACACCCGGCUCUUUAGCCGCGCUCUCCCUCUUCCUCCUCCUCCUCCUCCUCCUCCUGGUCCACAUCCUGCCUCUUGCGCAUUGAAAUUCCUCAAAUGCCUGCCUCUAUCUACGCCGUACUUCUACCCCCCCACCGCCCCCCCAUCCCAGUGCGUAGACUCCUGGCUCGCCUUUUCCCUACGUCCCAAUGACACAACCUCCACCGCGCGCGCGCACACGCACGCACGCACACACACACACACACAAUAGGCAGAGCUUCCUAUAUGCUUAAUGUUAACCCUUCUGCUCUACCCAACGAGACCCUGCUCGCGUGCACGCGGCGCAGUGGAAGCUCGGCUUUUUUAUUCAAUAUUUUUGAUUUGCACUGACGCACGCGCGCACGUACAUAAAAUGAAAUACCACGGGUGGGUGGGUCCUCGUGAUUUCCAUUAGAAUGGUUAAGAAUACCUUCUCUAGAGCUCGCACGCCUCGGGGUAUUUUCUGGUGAGUAAUUAAUUUUCCAGCAUGUGGGGGGGGGGUGGAGACCGGAGCUCGCGGGCCCAUGCCUUCUGGCUCCGACUGCGCGCGCGGGCGUGUGCGACUGCUACCGCGUCCUAGUUUCAAAUUGGAGGAGGAGGGGGAGGGAGGGUGCGUGUGCGUGUGCGCUCGCGUGUGUGGAGGAAACAGCGCAGCGCAGCGCAGAAAAUCGAUCCAGGGGCCGCGCUUCUCAGCCUCCUUCCGGGCGCACGAGUCCUCUGCGGGGAAUU